UACGUAGGGUGCGAGCGUUAAUCGGAAUUACUGGGCGUAAAGCGUGCGCAGGCGGCUUUGCAAGACAGAUGUGAAAUCCCCGGGCUCAACCUGGGAACUGCAUUUGUGACUGCAAGGCUAGAGUACGGCAGAGGGGGAUGGAAUUCCGCGUGUAGCAGUGAAAUGCGUAGAUAUGCGGAGGAACACCAAUGGCGAAGGCAAUCCCCCUGGGCCUGUACUGACGCUCAUGCACGAAAGCGUGGGGAGCAAACAGG
rnacentral:rRNA from 1 species